UACGAAGGGAGCUAGCGUUGUUCGGAAUCACUGGGCGUAAAGCGCACGUAGGCGGAUGUGUCAGUCAGGGGGUGAAAUCCCGGAGCUCAACUUCGGAACUGCCUUUGAUACAGCACGUCUUGAGUCCGGAAGAGGUGGGUGGAAUUCCUAGUGUAGAGGUGAAAUUCGUAGAUAUUAGGAAGAACACCGGUGGCGAAGGCGGCCCACUGGUCCGGUACUGACGCUGAGGUGCGAAAGCGUGGGGAGCAAACAGG
rnacentral:rRNA from 1 species